rnacentral:misc_RNA from 1 species
GAUGAAGAACGCAGCGAAAUGCGAUAAGUAAUGUGAAUUGCAGAAUUCAGUGAAUCAUCGAAUCUUUGAACGCACAUUGCGCCCGCCAGUAUUCUGGCGGGCAUGCCUGUUCGAGCGUCAUUUCAACCAUCAAGCCCCCGGCUUGUGUUGGCGACCUGCGGCUGCCGCAGGCCCUGAAAAGCAGUGGCGGGCUCGCUGUCACACCGAGCGUAGUAGCAUACAUCUCGCUCUGGGCGUGCUGCGGGUUCCGGCCGUUAAACCACCUUCAUAACCCAAGGUUGACCUCGGAUCAGGUAGGAAGACCCGCUGAACUUAAGCAUAUCAAUAAGCGGAGGA